AGACUUCCAAAUAGGUUAGGGUUUCAAUAUCGCAAAUAAUUACUUGAACUUUAGAUCAGACAUUUGUGAGUGAUCAAUAAAUCAAAAAAUCUAGAAGAAACAUGAUAAAAAAAGACGUGAUUCUAGUCCUAAACUUGCUUGUGAAGAAGCUUGAGGAUGAAGAAGGUAGAACCAGAACCAAAGAGAGCUCCAACUCCCACCAAUGAGAGAGACUUGAACUUUCCCUCCAUUCUCUCAAGUCCAGCUCUCGCCUUUUCCG
rnacentral:lncRNA from 1 species